AUGCAAUAGUGAAAAAUAGGCAUUUUUUUUGCAAUUUUCCAAGUUUGGACCCAACUCUUUCUUUCCCGUAGACCUCUCUCUUAUCCGUGAAACCCAAAUCUUGAACCCAUACCUCUCUUUCCUCUUCACGAUCUCGAAUCCAACCACCACCACUACUCUAUCGGUUGUCUCUCUCCCUCUCGUUCUAAGCGGCGGGCCGCCACACGAAUCUCGAAGCCGACGUGAAUCAAGUCCUAAAAUCAAGAAGUUGGGUCGUCGUCAUGGCAAGGUUGUUCGGUGAAUGUGGAAGGCGGGGGUUCGUGAGACGGGUGCCUCCUCUUCCAGAUCGUCCACAAGAGAGGUCAAUGCCAUGAAGGAGGAAGUGACAACCCUAAAAGGUCAACUUGCGGCCCAGGACGAGCACAUUAGGGCUCAGGACGAGAGAAUGAGUAUGAUUGUACAAGCCUUAGCGAUGUUCGGCCUCCAAAUCCCGAUGCCAGCACCUGAUCUUGCUCCACCUUCGACUUCCCAGCCACUUCGUCCAGCCGAUACCCAGUAGCAUGAUGUAUUAAACCUAGAAGACUUGUAGUUUUUUCUUUUUUGUUCAGACAUCUUGUAUGUACAUUUUCAUAUAUUUUAUAAUUAAAUACUUUUUCUUGGUUUAUUAA